rnacentral:rRNA from 1 species
GAAUUUUGGACAAUGGGGGCAACCCUGAUCCAGCAAUGCCGCGUGAGUGAAGAAGGCCUUCGGGUUGUAAAGCUCUUUUGUCAGGGAAGAAACGGCGGGGGCUAAUAUCUCCUGCUAAUGACGGUACCUGCAGAAUAAGCAACGGCCAACUACGUGCCAGCAGCCGCGGUAAUACGUAGGGUGCAAGCGUUAAUCGGAAUUACUGGGCGUAAAGCGUGCGCAGGCGGUUGUGCAAGACCGAUGUGAAAUCCCCGGGCUUAACCUGGGAAUGGCAUUGGUGACUGCACGGCUAGAGUGUGUCAGAGGGGGGUAGAAUUCCACGUGUAGCAGUGAAAUGCGUAGAGAUGUGGAGGAAUACCGAUGGCGAAGGCAGCCCCCUGGGAUAACACUGACGCUCAUGCACGAAAGCGUGGGGAGCAAACAGG